rnacentral:rRNA from 1 species
CAGUAGCCGCGGUAAUACGUAGGGUGCGAGCGUUAAUCGGAAUUACUGGGCGUAAAGCGUGCGUAGGCGGUGAGUUAAGUCUGCUGUGAAAUCCCCGGGCUCAACCUGGGAAUGGCAGUGGAUACUGGCUCGCUAGAGUGUGUCAGAGGAUGGUGGAAUUCCCGGUGUAGCGGUGAAAUGCGUAGAGAUCGGGAGGAACAUCAGUGGCGAAGGCGGCCAUCUGGGACAACACUGACGCUGAGGCACGAAAGCGUGGGGAGCAAACGGGAUUAGAUACCCCAGUAGUCCCUGUCUCUUAUAC